GAUGAAGAACGCAGCGAAUGUGCGAGACGUAAUGUGAAUUGCAGAAUUCAGUGAAUCAUCGAAUCUUUGAACGCAUCUUGCGCUCCUUGGUAUUCCGAGGAGCAUGCCUGUUUGAGUGUCGUGAAUACUCUCAGUUUCUUACUCUUUUGGUUUGAAACUGGACUUGAAUGCUUGCCGUGUUUUCCCACGGCUCAUUCUAAAUGCAUUAGCGGUCUACCCUCGAUCACACCACAAUGUGAUAAGUCAAGCAUUGGGGUUCGAGGCGAAGGCGGCUUCUAACCGUGCGAGGACACUUGAUCUCAUCUGACCUCAAAUCAGGUAGGACUACCCGCUGAACUUAAGCAUAUCAAUAAGCGGAGGA
rnacentral:misc_RNA from 1 species